UCUGAAUGCAGGGCAGGGAGCCUCAGAU
rnacentral:piRNA from 1 species